AGAUAUUAUCCCCUUGUAGUGUAGUUUAAUAGCUAUCUACAUAUUAACUUAAUAUAAAGUAUAAUAGUUUAUAUUUUAUAAUAUGACGUUAACAAUUUUGUUUAAUAUUUGAAAAUGUUAGUAUUAGUAAUAUUAGUAUAUGUGCUAAAGGAACUCGGCAAAAAACCACUCAACUGUUUAUCAAAAACAUAGCUAUAUGAAUUAAUAUAUAGUUAUUUCUGCUCAAUGAUUUAAAUAGCCGCAGUACUCUGACUGUGCAAAGGUAGCAUAAUCAGUUGGCUUUUAAUUAGAGUCUGGUAUGAACGAAAAUAUGGGUAGUAACUGUCUUAGCACAUUUUUUCGAACUUAUUAAACAAGUGCAAAUGCUUGUAAUUUAACAAUAGACGAGAAGACCCUAGAAACUUGGACAAGUUUUUGUUGGGGCGACAGAAUUACACUUAACUAAUCUUAUAAUACACGACGCGAUGUUGAAAGAAUAAGUUACUCUAGGGAUAACAGCAUAAUUUCAUUAGUUUGUGACCUCGAUGUUGGACUAGGUACUAUACCCUUAAGGCAAGGAUAUAUUAUGCUCUGUUCGAGCAAAAUUACCUACAUGAUCUGAGUUCAGACCG
rnacentral:rRNA from 1 species